GGCAAGUAGGUGUUCCGUCGCUUGCGGCACAAUCCGUCGCCGUGAGAGGAACUUCCCGACUCUCGGCAUCGUCCAAAAGAUGAUGCAGCGUUGCCUAGCGAAACAGCAAGCUAGGGUAUCCUUCACGCAAGUGAAGGAUAACGACAACUGCAACAGAAAAAAAUCCCACUCGUAGGGGCGAUGGCUCGUCCUCGCACCCACGAGACAGGGGCGAAACGGUGGGGUAAAAGCCCACCAGCAUUGUCAGCAAUGGCAGUGGCUAGGUGAAUGUCCAACGGGGAGCAAGGCAGGUGGGUUGCGUUUGGCGACAAACGCGAUCCUGCCGCAGUGAUGUGAUUUGAUUUUAAGAGAUCAAAUACAUUUCACCGGGGCAGCAAUGCUUCGAGACAGAUGACGGAUUAAAACAGAAUCGGGGGUACGACCACUUGCCGUAU
rnacentral:RNase_P_RNA from 1 species